GGGCGAUUAGCUCAGUUGGUCAGAGCGCCUGCCUUACAAGCAGGAUGUCCCCAGUUCAAGUCUGGGAUCGCCCACCA
rnacentral:tRNA from 1 species